rnacentral:rRNA from 1 species
CACAUGCAGUCGACGGAGUUAAAUUCGACACCCGAGUAUCCGGCCGGGAGGCAGGGUACUGGGGGUUGGAUUUAACUUAGUGGCGGACGGGUGAGUAACGCGUGAGUAACCUGCCUUUCAGAGGGGGAUAACGUUCUGAAAAGAACGCUAAUACCGCAUAACAUCAAAUUAUCGCAUGAUAGAUUGAUCAAAGGAGCAAUCCGCUGGAAGAUGGACUCGCGUCCGAUUAGCCAGUUGGCGGGGUAACGGCCCACCAAAGCGACGAUCGGUAGCCGGACUGAGAGGUUGAACGGCCACAUCGGGACUGAGACACGGCCCAGACUCCUACGGGAGGCAGCAGUGGGGGAUAUUGCACAAUGGGGGAAACCCUGAUGCAGCAACGCCGCGUGAGGGAAGAAGGUUUUCGGAUUGUAAACCUCUGUUCUUAGUGACGAUAAUGACGGUAGCUAAGGAGAAAGCUCCGGCUAACUACGUGCCAGCAGCCGCGGUAAUACGUAGGGAGCGAGCGUUGUCCGGAUUUACUGGGUGUAAAGGGUGCGUAGGCGGCGAGGCAAGUCAGGCGUGAAAUCUAUGGGCUUAACCCAUAAACUGCGCUUGAAACUGUUUUGCUUGAGUGAAGUAGAGGUAGGCGGAAUUCCCGGUGUAGCGG